UCCUUUAGUAAAAUCGGAAAAAAAAAGAGUGGUAGUUUCAAUUAUUAAUUUUCUCCUGUAUGAAUUUGUAACGAAUAUACACGUAUUAACAAAGCUUUCUUAUAAAACUGGGUAUUUUUGCUAAUGAAUUCAACUUUUUACUCGAUUGACACUGUUUGUGAAUGAAUCAAGCAUCCCCGAGGUCUCUUCAGAUCUAUAUGUGGAGUAAGGAUACGAGUUGAACAUUCAACUGGUGGAACAGUAAAGAAUAAAGCAUGUCUAAGGGAAGGUGGUGAGAGGGUUGAGAUUACAUCAAAUAGAGGAACCUUGAGUAACUAUAAACCUGAUGAUGACCGAUCUUUUGAAUAUAAUGAACAUGGAAAUAUUAGAUACGAUUCUCGACAGACAAACAUGAUUGACAGAAAGAAUGUUCUAGGACCAAGAUUGAUCCAAAUGAAAACUUUAAUUACACAAGAUCCAAACAUUAUUAACAACACUACUCGUUAUCCAACUUUGUUAGGAGAGGAAGCUGGUCAGGGAAAUGUUGAUUGUGUGGAUUUUCUGUUAAAAUCUGGAGCUUCGGUGGAUUUAAAAGAUAGUGAGGGUGAAACAGCAACUUGCCGCUGUUUAAAAGCCAGUGAUGAUGUAAGUGCUGAUGACAAACUGAACUGUUUAAAGUUAUUAAUAAAAGCUGGUGCCAAUUUAUAUGUUGGACAUAACAAAGAUGGUAUGACACCACUGAUGAUAGCAGCAAGUGUUUGGUAUGAUCUUUGUUUAAAGGAAAUAUUAAAAUUGGGUUAUCUCAGUCGACGGAAUGUAAAAUGGAGAGUUGUUGAUGAUAAUUAUUAUAAAUACAGGCGUGGAGACUAUUGGGGACACGGAAACAAGUUACAUAUUUAUAAUCAGAAAUAUCGUACCACUGUAGAUUACAGAGAUAAAAAUGGUAGAAACGCUCUUCAUCAUUGUAUUAGAAAAAAUACAUCCACAUCAUCGUCACGGGUCAUCGCAUGUAUACAUCAUCUACAUGAAGCAGGCUGUAGUUUCACUCUAAAAUCAAAUUUUUCAUUUGACUGUUUCAUAGAACAAGCUUUACGAGCUGGUUCAGUGGCACCUGUUGUUAAGUAUUUGAUAGAUUUGGGGAUUACGGUUAACUUGAAUGAAUGUUUACAAUUAGCAGCUAUUAAUCUUCCAUGAAAGUUUUGCUAGAAGCUGGGGCUGAUUUAAGGUAUAAACAAGACAAUUGCACAUUAUUGUCCCCCGCCUUUUGAAGAAAGCAGGGGACUAUUAAAAUGGGUUCGUCCGUCUGUCUGUCUGUCUGUCUGUCUGUCUGUCCGUCUGUCUGUCCCGUCUGUCUGUCCGUCUGUCUGUCCGUCACACUUUUUGGGACACAAUAACUCUCUUCCUAAUUGAGCUAGAAUGUUCAAACUUGGUGUAUGUGUUUAUUAGGUCAAUGCCUUGAUGGAGUUCGAAGAUGAGCAUUUUCCGCUUAGGGUAAGCAGAGAUAAGCAAUUUGAUUGGUUGAUGCUUUGGGACACGAUAACUCUCUUCCUAAUUGGGCUAGAAUGUUCAAACUUGGUGUAUGUGUUGAUUAGGUCAAUGCCUUGAUGGAGUUCGAAGAUGAGCAUUUUCCGCUUAGGGUAAGCAGAGAUAAGCAAUUUGAUUGGUUGAUGCUUUGGGACACGAUAACUUUUAAUUGAGCUAGAAUGUUCAAACUUGGUGUAUGUGUUUAUUAGGUCAAUGCCUUGAUGGAGUUCGAAGAUGAGCAUUUUCCGCUUAGGGUAAGCAGAGAUAAGCAAUUUGAUUGGUUGAUACUUUGGGGCACGAUAACUCUCUUCCUAAUUGAGCUAGAAUGUUCAAACUUGGUGUAUGUGUUGAUUAGGUCAAUGCCUUGAUGGAGUUCGAAGAUGAGCAUUUUCCGCUUAGGGUAAGCAGAGAUAAGCAAUUUGAUUGGUUGAUGCUUUGGGACACGAUAACUUUAGUUCUAAUUAAGUGAGAUUGAUGAAACUUGGUGUAUAGAUUUAUUAUAUGAAUACCUUAACUAAGUUCGAUAAUGAAUAUUUUUUGCUGAGGGUAAGCAGAGUGAUAAGCAAUUUGAUUGGUAGAAACUUUGGAACACAAUAACUCUCCUUCUAAUUGAGGUAGAAUGUUCAAACUUGGCAUAGGUGUCUAUUAGGUGAAUGUUUAAACUUGAUGUAUAUGUAGAUGUUCAUUAGGUGAAUGUCUUGACUGAGUUCAAUAAUUAACAUUUCGAGCUGAAGCUAAGCAGAGCUAAUCGAUUUCAUUUGUCGAUGGUUUGGGACAAGAUAAUCUUGAUUCUAUCUGAUAGAGAGUGAUGAAACUUAGUGAAAAAAAUAAAUGUGCGAUUAAUUAAUAUGUGUCAUCUAUUUAUUUUGCAAUUUCGGCGGGGGACAUCAGCCUCACUGUUGGCUUGUUGCAUAUGGCUUUGUUACAAUUACUUCAGAGGGAAUUUUAUACCUUAACUAGCCUUCCAUCUGAUCUUAAUCCACAUAGCGAAAUGAAACCAGUGCUUAAGUUUUUGUUGGAAAACAAUUUAGAUCCUAAUACAGUAUGCCAUGGUGGAGGUACACCUCUGCUGUAUUCAUGUUGGUACAGAUGGUAUGGUUAUCGUUUUCCUUUAGACUAUUUCGUGUCAGAGAAUGUCUACAUCCAGAAAUUCACAUAUGGUAAUUUAGACUGGUGCUAUGAGUUUUGGGUUGGUGAUGAUGUGUGUACAGCCUAUGAUACUGAGAAGAAUUUGGAAUUAUUGAAGUUUUUGUAUGAUUGUGGCCUCUCUAGAAAAAAAUGUCUGACUUUUAAAGGAGAACAUAAUCCUGAUGAUGUAGCGAGUUGUGCAAUGUCAGGCUUUAAAGAAGAGCCUGAUUCCGUGAUUUGUGAAUGGUUAGACAAUAUGUCUGCCAUGCCGCCAUCUUUAAUGUAUAUGUGUAAACACAGGGUACGCGAGUUGUUGGGUAGGAAUAUCAAAAACAAAGUUUUACAUCUUGGCCUACCCGUUGCAGCACAGAAUACAGUACUGUUGAAAGAUAUAUUGUCUAGUGACUGCUUUGAUGAUUAGAUAUUUAAUCUCCGAUACCACAUGUCAUGACCAAACUAGAACAUAAAGAACCUGUCACAGACUUUGUUGAAUACAAAUUAUCACAUAACGUAUAUAUACAAGUCUGGACAUGAGGCAUCUGUCAAACUUUGUUAGGCACAAACUAUCACAUUGUAUAUACUUUCUGUGAUAUUUUAUGUAUAACAAAGACUGUGACCGGUACCUUAUUCCCAGGCUUGUCCAUGAUGCUAUGUUUUUACUUUUUUAUAUGUCUACACUGAAUGUAUUUUGUUGAUUUGUUGAUAGGAUAUCAUACUUAUUUCCUUGUGAAACUCAAAAGACUGAGGUGAAUAUAUUAUUUUAAAUUGACAAAGAUUCUUGUUGAAUUUUUAAUCUGGGAUUAUUUUUGCCCCAAACUUUAAACCCAAACCCUAAAAAAAUUCAGAUUUUUUACCUCUUGAAACUUUGUAGUUGUUCUACUAGUCAGAGUUAUCACCCUUUGAAACUGUGUAAUUGCUGUACAAAUCACAUAUUUAACCCCUUUCUCCCAGUGUGCUCAUUCCGUACUACUCCACUAUACACAUGGUUAAUCCGUAGGAUUCCCACGAUUUCAAAUUAUCUGCCCUGGCCUUGAUUGUAGCUAUAGUCUACGAUCCAAUCAAACCUGUCUUUUCGCCUUUGUUUUAAUAAGGGUAGAUAAUCAUAUUCAUGUCCAUUUACUGAAUGAUUUAUGUAAAUAAUGUAUAUAUUUCUAAUUCGUUUAUAUUUAAUUGUAUUAUCAAAAUCUGUAGUAUGUUUCGCAGAUUUCAAAUAUGUAUAACAUCUAUAUGUUUUGCUUUUGUUAUUAUUAUUAAUAUUCGUUCUUAUCUGAAAUGUUUCAUUCUGUUAUGUUUAUUAUUAUUGAACUUAUACUUUGCAAUUUGAUUCACAGGAACUUGUCUGCAAUAUCACGUGGACGUAAAACUCUCAAUAACGAACAAUUCUCAAUAAAACUCUUAAACCUACAUAAAACUCCACAGUGUUCAUUAAUAUAUUAUAUAAUUUGUUGUCAAUAAAUACGCAAUUAGAAUAAUUUGGACUUUUAAUUUAGGCCAAUUCCUAACCUUAUCAGAUGAGAGUUACUUAACUUUGCAAACUUCCUUUUCAAUUAACGAUUUAUGAGAUUGGUCGAUAAAAAUAGCACAAUCAUCAAGGGCGGAUAACUUGAAAACGUGUCUUCCCCCAUAAAUUAACCCAGGGUUUAGUGGAGUAGAACAGAAUUAAACCACUGGGGAUACCGAAACUAGUGAGGAUAGUGGACAUGUAUGGCGGUUUAAAAUAGCAGUUUAUAUAAUUUUAACUCUACAUUAAUUGUUUCAUAGUGUUUAUGGAUCCACUACCAGUUACCAAGUAAUUCUUUGGAGGAUUCGGCUGACGAUGUCGUGUAUUUCUAGAUUUUUGGAUAUUUUAACAUGUUGUAUGAUGCGGUCACCCAGACUGUCAAUCCGUCCGUCCAAUACUUGUACUCACUCCAGUUCUGAAUUUGAUUAAAUGUUUCGAAUUAGUCCAGCAAAGAUUACAGAAACUGUCCACCAAUUUGUUAUAACACAAAUGCUUACACUAUCACUCACCCGGGUGAGGGUGGUUAGCGCGUGCGCGUUGUAUCAUAAGGUCUGCCAUUGAGUCCACUGGUGUGGUUACAAUUCCCCGGUUGUAUGUGACAAGGAGAAGGGUCGAUUCGUGGGCUUUCCCG